ensembl:lncRNA
CUGGUACCUCUCUUUGCAUUUAAACCUCUCAAUAGCUGUUGGUCCCAGUUGAUUCUUGUCAGAAUAGUGAAUAAAUAUAACUCCUUAAACGUAUGCGUAUAUAUUAUUUUUUAUGUAUGCAUAUAUAUAAAAUAAGAGAUUUUCAUAAGCAUUUCCAAGCAAACAGGUGCUAGGCUUUCUCCAUACCAACUCCCAGUUCUCUGAUGGACUCAACUCUGCACAGCGCUCGGAGCAUCUCAGAACAGCCAAACCACUGCCAGCUUCAAACAAACGAGAAAAUUUAUCAGUAAAACAAGACAAAAAUGAAAGCAACAGGCUGAAUGGGAAGAGAUGGAAGGAGGGGUGGCUGUGCUUCUGGGAUUCGGGAGCCUGGAACACGGCAGGUCAGCAGGCCUCGCAGGCAGGACCUGGCCCUUGGAGUAGUGAGCGCUAGAGGGCAGCAUCCACGCGGCCACUGCCGGCAGAGCUCCGUGUUUCCGGAGGACCUCAGAUCAAGCAAUUUGUGAAGGAGAAAUGAUAACGUCUUAAAAUGGCAUAUUUUAGUGCGCUCUGGACUGUGUAGCUGCAUUCAUUUAAUCAAAACUGCUAUUCUAAGGAUGAAAAUACAGUAAAAUAAAUAGCGCACAUUUCUGUCAACAGUUAUACCUGAGAAUCUAAUAAAUGAUUUGGUUUAAUAUUCACAUUUGUACUUGCUCCAGUAGUUCAUCUAUAAUCCCUGCCUUUGCAACAGCCAGAAGUUACACAUAACACGUAGUUAUUUCCCCCUUUGUUAUGGAGCUGUGGCAGACGACUGCAUUCUAAAAAUGUUUCUUUUUGCUUGAUUCAGUUAGGAACAUUUGCUCAGGGUGGGGAGAAGUUUUCGGAAUGCACAAACUAGGUGUGAUGAAUUCUGAAAGUCUGAACUAGUUCGAGCUGACCCUGACAACUGAGCUCAUCAAACUCUGUGGGUUUUAAUUUUGUGGAAUAUCGUGUGUCUUCAUGUCUAUACUAGUGCAUAGUAGGAAGUGCUGAAAAGAACAGCUGUAAGGAGAGUUCCAUUUUUUUGAGCUGACAGACAAAUGGCACUUGGUGCAGCAUCCUCUGCUCUUGCCAGCUGAGUGUUAGUGACCAGAAAGUACAGCUUGGGGAACAAGCGGGGCAGUGUGCAGGGCCUGAAAGACCUCAUUCAUGCAGCAGCCUGCAGGAUCUUGUGCGACAUUGUCUGGUAUGCGUUAGCUUUGUGAAAUUAGUACUCCACAUUUUUUACCAAAAAAAAAGAAAAAAAAGAAAAGAAGAAGAAAGAAAGAGAGAGAGAAAGGGAGAAAAGAGAGAAAGAGAGAGAGAAAGAAAGAAAGAAAGUUUGCCUUCUCUUCUUCAUUUACACUUCCAAAUAAUCUGUCCAAAAGAUUUAGUUGUCAGACUCAUGUUUGGGGUUCACACACGAUGAGGCCACUGGUACAAUAUUUUAGCAAGCAUGCUCUGUAAAAAGUAAAAAGUAGUGUUCUUUCUGUUCUCCCAGAUAUGUCUUGAAUUUUUAAGAUGACCAUAUUGGGUAGGUUUUUACUAGGCCAAAAGCUUUCCAGCAGAACUUUAUUUCCAAAACAUUCAGUAGUUUUCAUUUCCUAUCUCUGGUAGAAAUACAGGUCUGGUCACAUGGGAAUUGGUCACAUAUCCAGGAUUUGUUUUGGGGUUUGUUUUCAUUCAUUCUUCUUUCCCAAAUAUUCUGAUCCUAUCACAGUUUGCUUACAGUUUGUUUAUAAUAACAUACUAUCCAAGACAACACACUUCAAAUCCUAUUGCAUUUACUAAAUUUAGUGGAUGAUUUCCCAAAUACAUAAGUAAUAAUAGUAAUUAAUUACAUCCUUUGGGCCAGAAUAACCUCAAUAAGUUGCAGUGGAGGAUCUGGUCCUAUAGCUUUUGCUUCUCUAAUUGCAUAAAGCAGCUGUAAUCUCACCAGAUCCAGUCACUGGUGUAUUCCUUUCUGCCCUGGAGUCUCCCCAGGUGAUGGAUAGCCACUUUCCUAUCAUCUUCUUUCUGAGCUUACUGCUGCUCAUUAUUGGGAAAACGGAGCUGUAGCUGGACUAAUGUUGUACCAUAGUAAAUGUAAGGAUCCCUAAUCAAAAUCUGGACCAGGAUGUUGAAAUAAUGUAACCAAAUCUUAUGCUUAGGAACUGAUGGUUUUUAGGAGGUAUUUCUCCUCUCCAG